CUCUUUGCUUUUGCAUCGGACUCGGCUUCCUGGUGGUCUUUAGGGAUCGCGAAUUCUGGGCAUAACGCUGCCUUGGUUUGGAAGUGUUUUUAAAUGAUUAAGGAGCAGAGAUGUGCAGGGUAACAAAAGAAACGACUAAAGUUCUCUAUUUCAUUGGGAACCCGGCCCGACUUAAAAGUCCUGUUGCGCUGCUAAUCAAAGUAUGAAACACGGAGAGAGCUUGAAAACAGCAUUAAUCAUUAAUCUGGGGAAGUGCUUACGGUUAUGAAUUCUUCAAGAGUUUCGAAAAACUUGCAGCACUUUUCCAGAUAAUACUCGGGAGGCUGUGUGUUUUUAUUUUUCUUUUCCUCAAGUCCCUUGUGAAGAAAUAACCAAAAAUAGUGUCAGGGUCAAGCUCGGGAGUGGGGGGGGGGGGGGGGGGCGGGGAAGAGCUAUCCCUUCACAAACGGCUCUGGAAAACAACAUACAAUUAACUGUUUUGGCUCCACGUCGAAGUAGGAAUCAGUCACUAACGUUUUUCAGACCAACGUUCCCAUGAAGCCACAAAGCGGCCCUCAGAUGUGACGGGAUGGGGCACAAACCAGUCUCUGCCAGGUUACAAGCACCAUGCGCUUCUUACUUGCCCAGGGUAGCAAAUGCCUUUGAACCACACUCCUUCCGCCUGGAAAGAGCAGUGGAGAUGUGACAACCAUCUGAUGAUUUCGAUCUGGAUAAACAGCUCCGAAGGGACAGGGCUGAAAGCAGCGGUUCUCAAAAUGUGGUCCCUGGACGAAGGCACCAUCACCAUCACCUGAGAACUUGCUAGAAAUGCAAAUCCUGGCUCCAGGCCAGAGCUACUGAACCUGACACUCUGGG